CCAAUUUUACCAUUCGUUUUUUUUUAAAAAAAAACCACACUCAUUCUCUUGAGUUUAUUAUGACAAUGGUGGUAAUUACUAAUUGCAAGUCAAAUUCACUUGUAAUACUACCACGAAAUAAGGUUACAUUUGGUACGUUGAAAUGAUAUAUUUCAUAAUAGUGCUCAUUCUAUGGUUAGUUAAAAAUAUUGCAAUGAACAUUCAAAUGAAAUUAUCAUUCCUCCAUUUUAACGAAUAAAAAUUCAAAUAAAAUUAUCAUUCCUCCAUUUUAACGAAUAAAAAUUCUCUAAUUUUUAAUAGAAUUAGUCAUUCCAAUCCUAUAUUUUUCUCCCUUUCAUAACCAAAAUAUUCAUCCACCACCGCCACAAUAACAAGAAAUGACACUAUGACUUUUUAGAAUUUUUAAAGAUAUCACAUAAGAACAUAUUUGUAGACUUGUAGUAUAAUACAUUAGUGAAUUACCCGUAUUUAGGCACUUCCCAACAUAAUUUAACUCCUUUAAAAAAUCGCCUUUUAAAUAGUUUGUGCCCAAACGAUUACCAGUCACUCCACCAACAUCAAACCACACACACUAGACAACGAUUUACGUGUUCGGCCAAUAAUGCCUACAUCCACGGAGAGGACCAAAUAAUUCACUAUCACGAAAUGAAUUACAAUAGUACAAUAGGGAGGAGCCUCUCCACUCACCUCUCAGCACUCUCUCAUCUCUCCAUCUCACUGUCUAUCUCUCAUAUCUCACAUCUACCACUUCUAGGGCCCACUCUCUUCCAGAUCUCUCUGUGUCUCGGUGCUCUCACUUAACAUAGCAACUCACCCAAACUCAACCUCUCUCUCAGCCCCUCUCUGCAACAGCAACAAGCGUUUGCUCACGUAAUCCCUCCAAGGAUUACUCUUGCCCACCUGCACUUCUCUCUGGCACCUCUCUUAAUUUAGAGGCCACCAAGAAGAGACGAUGAGCUCACGUCUGAGCUCAACAUGCCUCCAUCUUUGACAAUCUUCAGCAGCUUUCUUCUCUCCUCUCUUUUUCUUUUCUUCCUCACCUUCUAUUAGAGACUCUCUGUCUCGACCAAUCUACCAAAUGAAUACGGCGUUUCUGGAAGAGAAUUUGGAAGGCCUGAAGGAUUGGAAUGAGUUGGGCUUGGCUUGGGCUUGGGCUGUGGGCCUGGCCCAAUAGUUUGGACUUCAUUGGGCUUCAAUGGGACUGGACCUCCAACAAUCUCCCUCCCCUCCAAUCCCAAUUGGAGGGUUAUCUGAUUUCUUCAAAGUUAUGCCAUCCCGAUAACUUCUGGUCCACCUCCCCUGUAAGAUCUUCAAGACCUAUCCGAGUAUGGUUACCCCCUCCUCCACUGGCAACCUUCACGUCCACUGAAUUGAUUGCACUUCAAACUCUGAAGUGCCUGCACCUUCUCACCUAGUUGCUGCGGCUCCCCCCACCGGGGUGCGCUGGCAAUGUCGCUUUGCAAAUCAUCGUGAUCUAUCUCUCCUCCCUUGAGUGUGCACAACUGGAGAGAUCAACACCACUUUUUCUAGAGCGAAAGAGAUUCGUUCCGGCGACGUCACCCUGUGCUGUACCUCUCUCUGUCUUCUCUCUUUCUCUGAGCUUCUUCAUGGACCAUCUUGCACUGGUUGGCACUUCUCCCGGGGCCCCAAGAAAGAAAAGGAAGAGAAAGCCCCGUGUCUGCCAACUUCCGCACUUAUCCCAACAAUCUCGUCGCUCCGUUCCAUCGUGGAUCCUUCAGUACAUCCAUCAGUACUCCUGCCUUGCUUUGCGUGCCUCGUUUCAACGAUUGCCUUCUUUCGUCCAUCAUCCUUGCUACUACCACUGACCUAUUUCCUUACAGCAGCUCUCCUGUCUAGACAUUCUCAUCAGUCGUAAUAGUCUUUUUCUUCCUUCUCCUGCACUUCUCCUUGUUCCCUUGAACUCUUAGUUUUCCAUCCACUAGCUUCAAAGGCUUCAUCGUUCGACUCCUGCAUCUCAUGAAUCAUGCCUUACCCCGGUCACCUUCAGGAUCUCCCGUCUGCGGAACCGGACUGUCCUUUGCCAACCAUCGCAUCGUUAGCCAUCCGAACAAGUCCUCGCAUGUUCAUAUGUAGAGCACAUCUCUCGUCCGCUUCACAAGUGUAAUCAUUUCCUGAAUCAGAAAUCCAUCUGACCUUCUCUGCCUAUGCCUGCUAGGGGAGAACAUCACUCUCAACCACAGCCAUCAUUGCUGUUGUUGGCUGCCUCUGCUACUGAUCGGGUGCUUUGUUCCUUGGCAAUUCUUCUUGUCUCUCUGGUCGCAAUAAAGCACUUAAAGUGCGACCUCUGAUCUGCCUCCGCCAUCAUCUUCCUUGCCUCUUCUCUAGCCUCCUUUCUUUGUACCUCUCCUGAGACCUCUUCUCUGGCCUCUUCUCUUGACUUUCCCUGUGGCUCUCUGGAACUCGCUCGUUUGUUCCGCCACUGUAGUCCCUCUCUGAACUUCAACACAAUCCUCCUCAUUAGGCUUUGUACUGAGAUGUA
rnacentral:lncRNA from 1 species